UACGUAGGCAGCGAGCGUUGUUCGGAGUUACUGGGCGUAAAGGGUGUGUAGGCGGUUUUCUAAGUUUGGUGUGAAAUCUCCCGGCUCAACCGGGAGGGUGCGCCGAAAACUGGGAGACUAGAGUGCGGGAUGGGAGAGUAGAAUUCCUGGUGUAGCGGUGAAAUGCGUAGAUAUCAGGAGGAAUACCGGUGGUGUAGACGGCUCUCUGGACCGCCACUGACGCUGAGACACGAAAGCGUGGGGAGCGAACAGG
rnacentral:rRNA from 1 species